GAGGGGGAAAAUGAAGCUCUUCAGCCAGAAUCGUAGCAUUGCCAUCAAGGUUUCACUCUUGCCCUCUUGAAUGUGGGCAUGCAUGUAACUUAUCUUGUAAAAUUAGAUGGUGUCCGAGGCAGUUUCUGGGUCCGGGAGAUACAACUCUGCACCAAUAUACGCAUCCCUCCUUCUCUUUUUUGUUCCUUCCGUACAUUCAUCUUUCUCUUCUUUGUCUUCUCUUCAAAUAAUUACAAGCUUAAAUUAUGCCUUUUACUUGCACUUCUUUGAGAGUCUUCACCUCUUCAAAUUAGAAGCUUUACAUACUGCUUUGGCAUUGGUUUCUCCCUUCGACUCUGAUCCAGAAGGUACCAAUGAACCACCUUACCUUUGUGUUUGUUGUCUAGGCUGGGUUAUUAAUUUCUUUGCUUACCACCCUGCACUUCUUAUUAGUAACUUGAUGUUGUGGUUUAGGAAUGGUACUUACCAGUUUAGUGCUCCCAUUGAGACUCUCCAAACCAUGAGCUGCUUGCUCGCUCCCCCUCCCUUGUGAUGGACUGGAGAGGAGAAUUAGAGGCACAAAAGGUAAAGAUCACAGAUUGAGAUAUGAACAAUUUACUGGAAACAGCAAUGAAAUAAGAAAACUAACUGUAACAGCAACAGUGCUAAUGACAGAGGGUGUAAGAAAUGAAGGAUUCACACGGAAAGCCCUCGACAACAGACAAUAUCCAACCUCUCCCUCUGCCAUGCUACUGGAAGGGACCCUGUUCUCCCUGGAAGAGAAUUGCUUCUCCUCACCCCUGGCAAUGAUAUGAGGUGGUGUAGAAUAACUUCUGGGUCCUAGCAUGCCCCCAUCUAAGUACUGCAAAAAUUAACAGUCUCCUGGCUGGAACCAGGGCAUUAUUCACCCUAUGACAUGCCCAAAUCCUACACCUUCCAACUAUAUACAUAUAGAUAGAUAGAUAGAUAGACAGAUAGAUAGAUAGACAGACAGACACAUAUACACAAGCACAGGUAUUCUUUCCAGAGUCAAUGGCUGUCCCUCCAAGAUGUCUGUUGAGUUCAUUUAGUCCAUGACUGUGGAUUCCAUCCAUCUUAGAUGUCUCCCAGGGCAGGAGGGCUGGUAUGCUCUUGGCUGAUUGCAAGCUGCAUCAGGAGCUCACAACUGGUGUAUCUGGAGCAGUCCAUCCUCAUUGUCCAUGGUAAUUAUGGCAUACAGAGGCAGUGUCAUUCAGCAACCAGUACUACACAGUUCAACAUUACAGACUGUUCUCACCCAGAAAUCAAAUUCCCUUGAGGUACACAUCAUGUUUCCUCGUCCCUCUGCGUUACCCACCAAGUGCACCCAGAUCCUUGAGCAAAAACAACCCCACGGAUACAUUUGCCUUUGCUUGAGACAGGACUAAUCCAAACUAUCUUCUCUAAUGCAUUCCUCAUAUGCACCAUGGAGAGUUUAUCCCCUUCUACAGUACAUGGAGGUUUUUAUUGGGCAGGGCCAGCUUGAUGGGUAGAGCCUCUAUUGUUAACUAAGCAAGUGGCCUUUGUUAAAUGUGUAUCCCAAUGUUUGAAGGUCCCACUGCCCAUUGCUUUCAAUGAGGUUUUUAACAGUCCCUUGUACCAUUCAGCUUUCCCAGAUGCUGAUGCAUGAUAGGGAAUAUGGUAUACCCACUCAGUGCCGUGCUCUCUGGCCCAGGUCUCUAUAAGGCUAAUUUUGAAAUGAGUCCCAUUGUCCAACUCAGUUCUCGCCAGGGCACCAUGUUGCCGCAGAACUUGCUUUUCAAGGCCCAAAUGGUGUUACAGACAGUGGCAUAAGGCACAGGAUGCGUCUCCAGCGAUCCAGUGGUUGUUUCUACCAUUGUGAGCCUGUAGAGCUGUAGUCUGUAGUCUGGAUAACUUGGGUGAUGGUGUCCGUGGUUAAGUCCACCCCUGGAUUAUGAGCCCAUCUGUAUGUCGCAUCUCUUCCCUGAUGACCUGAGGUGUCAUGGGCCCACAAGCCUGAAAUAACUCAUCUUUAUGUUGCCAGUCCAUGUCUGCCUGAGACACUGUAGUCUUGGCAGCUCAAUCCACUUGUCUGUUGUUAUGAUGCUCUUCAGUAUCCUGACUCUUGGGUGCAUGUGUAUCUACAUGAUGGACUUUUACAGCCAACUUUUCUACACAGGCAGAGAUGUCUUGCCGCACUUCAGGAGCCCAGAUGGUUUUACCUCUGUGCUGCUGAUUGGUCUUUUUCCAUUGGUCCAGCCACCCCCACAGAGCAUUUGCUACCAUCCGCUAGUCAGUGUAGAGGUAGAGCACUGACCAUUUCUCUCGUUCAGCGAUAUCUACAGCCAACUGGACAGCUGUCAGCUGUGCAACCUGACUUGAUCCACCUUGUUCCUUCAAUAGCUUCUGCAACUCGCUAUGUAGGGCUCCAUUUGGCAGCUUUCCAUUUUUGAUGUUACCCUACAAUACAACAGGAACCAUCAGUGAAGAGAGCAUAUCGCUUUUCAGUUUCUGGUAGCUGAUUAUAUGAUGAGACCUCCUCAGCAUAUGUCACCUUCUCCUCCUCUGAUGAUCAUGAUAGUCCCAAAUUUUCACCUUCGGGGCAGUUCGUGAUGACUUCCAAGAUCCAUGGGUGAUUGGGGUUUCCUAUUCGAGCUCAUGUGACCCACUUACUCCACAUAGCAUGGGUGGCAUGAUGUGUGGAAAGGACUUUCCCUUUGAACGUCCAGCCCAGCACUGGCAGUCAGGGCACUAGGAGGGCUGUGCUUCACUGACAAUCACUUCUGAAGCAGCUCAAACCCCUUCAUAAGCUGCCAGUAUCUCUUUUUCAGUUGGGGUGUAACAGUCAGUUCCAGGUGUACUGGACACGCCUCCAGGUGAAAGCAAAUUGUGGCCUGCAGUCUGCUGCUAAGGGAAUGGAGAAAACCACAUUAGCGAUAUUGAUGGUGGCACCACUUUACUCCAGUUUGUACUGAAGUUCCAGCAUGCCUGGUACAGCAGCACUCAAUGGUGAUGUGACUUUGUUCAGGCCACAAUAGACUGAGAGACUCUCAGUCUCCACUCCCCAGUGGACUUACUCACAGGCCAUAUAGGACUAUUAAAGGGUGAGCAAGUCUUGCUGACCACUCCCAGGCUCUCCACUUCAUGAAUCAUCUCACCAGUGGGGGUCACGGAGUCUCGGUUGGUGCGGUAUUGCUGACAGUGCACCAUUCCGGUGGCCAUCAGUAACUAUUCUUCAACCCUCAGCAGUCCCAUAGCAGAAGGGUUCUUUGAGAGACCAGGCAAGGUAUUCAGCUGAUUUCCUCUGUCUCCACAGUAGCUAUCCCAAGAGCCCAACAAAGCCCUUUUGGGUCCUUGAAAUGGACCCUCUCCUGAUGUAAUCUGUGCCAAGGAUGCACAGGGCCCCUAGGCCAGUGUUAUGAUCCAGUUAUUAAAAUUAUUAGAAAUGUCUUUGCCCAAAUUAAGGUGCAGAUGAGACUGUUUGCCAGAGUCAAUAGUAUGGAUUUUAUUUAAGAGAAAGAGAGAGAGACAGAAAUAGAAAAAGGAUGGGGGGGACAAGAAGGAGCGUGACAGAGAAGGAUUAAAAUAGAAAAUGUAUCACCACUCUGUGGACCCAGUGGCGUUCCGUUCUUCUGGUCUUCUUGGUGGUGAGGGUCCCACACAACAUAGAGUCCAAUGGAUUAAUAUACAUUCAGAUGUCCAGGCACCACCCCUGGCAGGGAAAAGCUCUACAGUCUUUUGCGACAGGCUCUGGAUUUGUUGCAUCACUUGGAUCACAUGCAGUCCUCUUGUGGUGGAAGAUGUCAGGAAUGAGUCUGGGGUCUUUAAUGGUUUAUGACCCCUUCUCAGGUGCCUCUCAUGUGAAUGUCCUGUGUGUACAUGGUCUUCCUGGGAGUGGUU